UACGGAGGGUGCGAGCGUUGUCCGGAUUUACUGGGCGUAAAGAGCGCGCAGGCGGUCGUUCAAGUCGCGUGUGAAAGCCCCCGGCUCAACUGGGGAGGGUCACGCGAUACUGAUCGACUCGAAGGCAGGAGAGGGUAGUGGAAUUCCCGGUGUAGCGGUGGAAUGCGUAGAGAUCCGGAAGAACACCGGUGGCGAAGGCGGCCUGCUGGGCAGUAGCUGACACUGAGGCGCGACAGCGUGGGGAGCAAACAGG
rnacentral:rRNA from 1 species